GUAUAUAUUUAUAUAUAUCAAAAUCUUUAUCUUAUGUACUAACUAAACUAAACUCUAAAUAUAAAUAAAAAUUAAUUAAAGUUCUAAUUCUUCUCCAACUCAAUCCAUUAUCUCCUCACAACUAACCUCAAACCCAUCCUUCCGCACCAUCGCAUACAACCUUGCCGCCGCUCUGAGCCUGCGGUCCAUCGUGCUUCACCGCUGCUCUUAGUCUUUUUCCGGUCGCCGCCUCCCCUCUUCGAAGGCCGUUUGAGGUUAGUUUUGAUUCUCGCUUCGUCUGUUAAUAAGCAUUAUUUUGGUAAAUGAAUUGGACGUGUUUAUAUUUAUUUUGAUUAGAAUUAUACUUAUAAUUAUUAUUAACAUUCCUUUUUGUUGUUUGUAACCAUUUGUCUUGUGAUGUUUGGUUCGAUCUGCAUGUUGUUUGUUGUAAUAUGAGCUGCUUCUUUUUUUAUUAGUGUUUUUGUUUUAUUUGCCACUGAAUUAUGUUAGUGAACUCUGUGUUAAGAUUUAGGGGCCGGGGUUUUAGCUUUCUACUACUUGAUCUUUCUUCAGCUUCAUCGUUCUCAUUAUGUCUUGUGUCUUCAGCAUCGGGCAUAUAUUCACUUUUUAGAAUGCAGUUCUUGGAGCCCAUCUCUGUUUUGUUGAGCAGUGCUUUAAUCAUGGCUAAUUAAAGAUUCGAUUUUUGGGAUUUUGAAGUCCUUGAUUUGCUGUCUUCUUGAAGAUAUUGCAAUCUACUUGAGUUUUUCUGUGAUGAGAGGAAACGUUCACUAUCUUGAUAUUUUUUGCUGUUAAGAUGGCUGCAUUAUGCGGAAGCUUUAUAAAUUGGAGUAGUUACAGUGCGAAAGAUUAAAAAAUAAACUUUUUUUCUUGCUAAUCUGAAUAUAUUUGUGGGAUGAAUAUGUUAGGCAUGGAAAAUUGUGUUCCUGGGUGCAUGUGAAAGGAAUUUUGAUCGUAUAUUUGUUAAUCCAUAAAGAAAGAAGUUCAAUUGAGUUUUGACAAGGAGAAUCUUGAAAUAAGAAAAUGGUGUCCUAGGAGAUCUUUUUUUUUUUUUCUCUCACGAGAAUCAUAGAUUCUGCUCCGAACAUAGAAAUGGUUGUAGAAUUUGGAACACUAGACCUUUUAUGAGCAGCUUAGAGCUCAAAGAAUUGGUUAUUAUAUUUCAUGAUGGAUGUGACAUUUAAUUAUUUAUUGUUGUCGCGUCACAGAAUAAAUAUUUAUUUGCAGAAUUUUGAAGUUUAUAUACUAACUAUGAGCAUGAAAGUUACAUUGCGCAAAACAAGCUCAUCUUCAGGUAUAUAUAUUAAUUGUCUAUAUUAUAAUUACCACAUGUCACACAACAUGAGCACAAAUCAAAAUAUUUUUUAAUUAAUAUAUUUAUAUUUAUAUAUUGCAGUUAAUGAGGUAUAUAGACAAAGAAGAAAUCUACAAAAGCAAAAGAAACGUAAACGAAAUGCAAGUGAUUUGAAAUGUAAGUAUUACAUUCUUUUAAGAUAAAAAUACAUUUAAUACGUUAUGAUAAACUAUUAAUAUUUUAUUAUUUAUAUUAUUUAUCCAUUUAGAUUCAUUGCUUGGUGUUAGAAGAUUUGAAUAUGAACCACCUAAUUUUUGUUGUGAUGAUGGAAAAAUUAAACUUGCAUUUUCUGAAGUUCUUCCCAAGUUGGAUGAAUUGUUUACAACCCAAUCACAAUAAGCUAUUAGUUUCAGAAGGAAUAUUAGAGCUUAUAAUAGUAUAUUCUCAUUUACUUCGUUCGGAAUAAAAUUGGAUAAAGAACUCGCAUCUGCAAGACAGGGAGUUUAUUUUUUUCGAGCACAAGGAGUGGUUUAUCAUGAUCUUCCUGGAUUGAUCCCACAAUAUACAUCUCCUGCGUUUUUUCAACUAUACUUUUAUGACACACAAAGUGAGGUUGAGAACAGAAUUAACAUAAUGCGAAAUCAAAUUUUGUCAGAAGAAGUUGUAAAGAUGCUCAUGGGAAUUUUAGAGAUCAACCCGUAUGCAAAAUUCUUUUGAAGAUUGAAAGAUUAUCAUUCAAUGGACAAUGUUUAGCUUCAUAUUUCCAAAGAUAUCAACUUAGAUCAACGGGUAUAUAAUUCUCCACAUGCAGAUCAAGUUGCAGCUAUAUGGGUUGAGGGAAAUAAUGAAAAUAUUCCAUUGGAGCACGAUAUUGUAGUUCAUGCUUAUUCCGGUGAUAGACAUAGAAUAAAACAUUAUUAUGGAUGUUAUGAUCCAUUGCAAUAUCCACUUCUUUUUCCAAUGGGUGAAACAGGUUGACAUCAAAACAUUAAAAAGAUAGAUUCAACCUCUUCAGUUCGUAGCACAAAUUCUGUUUCUACUUCUACUUUAUUAGCAAGAACCAUAACUGCAGAGAACAAAGUAUGUCUAUUAACUUUUUAUAAAUUGAUUGAUUGAUGAUAAAAUUAGUUAAGUAGUUAUCAUAUUUUAUAUUUUUAUAAUUAUUUUUAUGUUGUAUUUUUCUAUAUUUAUAGGCGUUAGAAGAGAAAACAUUAAGAAUAUAUUUGCUAUAAGAUACAGAUUAGAAAUCCAAUGCGAAAUCAAAUUUUGUCAGAAGCAAUUAUAAAGAUGCUCAUGGAAAUUUUAGAGAUGAACCCGUAUGCAAAAUUCUUUCAAAGAUUGAAAUAUUAUCCUUCAAUGGACAAUGUUCAGCUUCAUAUUUCCAAAGAUAUCAACGAGUAUAUAAUUCUCCACAUGCAGAUCAAGUUGCAGCUAUGUGGGUUGAAGGUAAUAAUGAAAAUAUCCCAUUUGAGUGCGAUAUUGUAGUUCAUGCUCAUUCCGGUGAUAGAUAUAGAAUAAAGCAUUAUUAUGGAUGUUAUGAUCCAUUGAAAUAUCCACUUCUUUUUCCAAUGGGCGAAACAGGUUGGCAUCAAAACAUUAAAAAGAUUGAUCCAACGUCUUUAGUUCGUAGCACAAAUUAUGUUUCUACUUCUACUUUAUUAGUAAGAACCAUAACUGCAGACGAUAUUAUCUCCAACGAAGAACAAGGUAUGUCUAUUAACUUUUUAUAAAUUGAUU
rnacentral:lncRNA from 1 species